GAUUAACGCUGGCGGCGUGCAUAACACAUGCAAGUCGAACGAAGUGGCGGACGGGUGAGUAACGCGUGAGUAACCUGCCUUAGAGAUGGGGAUAGCCUCUGGAAACGGAGAAUAAUACCCAAUGCUCUACGAUUGACUUGCGUCUGAUUAGCUUGUUCGUGAGAUAAUAGCGCACCAAGGCAACGAUCAGUAGCCGGCUUGGGGGAGUGUACGGCCACAUUGGGAGUGGGACACGGCCCAGACUCUACGAGGGGCAGCAGUGGGGAAGUUUGCACGAGGGGGGAACCACUGAUGCAGCGACGCCGCGUGAUUUAGAAGGCCUUCAGGUUGUAAAAAUCUUUUGUAUAGGAAGCAGUACUAUACGAAUAAGGACCGGCUAAUUACGUGCCAGCAGCCGCGGUAAUAC
rnacentral:rRNA from 1 species